rnacentral:rRNA from 1 species
UUACCGAGUGCGGGUCCUUUGGGCCCAACCUCCCAUCCGUGUCUAUUGUACCCUGUUGCUUCGGCGGGCCCGCCGCUUGUCGGCCGCCGGGGGGGCGCCUCUGCCCCCCGGGCCCGUGCCCGCCGGAGACCCCAACACGAACACUGUCUGAAAGCGUGCAGUCUGAGUUGAUUGAAUGCAAUCAGUUAAAACUUUCAACAAUGGAUCUCUUGGUUCCGGCAUCGAUGAAGAACGCAGCGAAAUGCGAUAACUAAUGUGAAUUGCAGAAUUCAGUGAAUCAUCGAGUCUUUGAACGCACAUUGCGCCCCCUGGUAUUCCGGGGGGCAUGCCUGUCCGAGCGUCAUUGCUGCCCUCAAGCCCGGCUUGUGUGUUGGGUCGCCGUCCCCCUCUCCGGGGGGACGGGCCCGAAAGGCAGCGGCGGCACCGCGUCCGAUCCUCGAGCGUAUGGGGCUUUGUCACAUGCUCUGUAGGAUUGGCCGGCGCCUGCCGACGUUUUCCAACCAUUCUUUCCAGGUUGACCUCGGAUCAGGUAGGGAUACCCGCUGAACUUAAG